AGAGACCCGUGAUUGAGAUCUUCCCUGUCGUUUAGAAGAGGGUGCUGGGAGUGCUGUGAGCAGAGAGGAAAAACAGAAUCAAGCGGAGGGCAAUAGAAUUCCAGAGCUGGAUUUCCUGAAGAUUUUCAUGUGCUAACGUGCACUGUGAUCUUCCUGAGGAGCGACAGUGUUACCCAAGAGAUUUAUUCUCUUGGUCUUCUUGUGGACUCAGCAUAUCCCUUUGGACCUGAUGGAUAAAGAAAGGAGCCAUAUGCCUCUUAGUCAUAAAAAGAGAACAUUCGAAGGACCAUUCAAGCAAAUACGUCUAAGCCACUGAGAUAUUGUUAAUUGGCGAAGACAGAUGCAGAGAGGAGCUCAGACAGAAGGAGCUGAGAUUUUCUAUUCCUCAUCUGAAGGUGCCUGGGUUCCAGGAGAUCCACCCCGGAAACCUGGCCAAUUAGCUGUCGAUGUCGCUCAAGAUCAAAACACCACCUAUAAAGAAACUAAUGCUGAGAGAAGUUAAAUAAUAUGCUCAAGGACAUACAAAUUAUAUGGCAGAGCUGGGAUUCCCUUCAGUAAUUCAACUUUAUGUCCUAAACCUUAAUCAUUAUGUUCCUGGAUACGCAGUACUUCCUAACACAGGUAAGUGGAAUCCCUAUUUGCAAGUAACCCUAAGAACAUACCAAGCUAGGGAUCCAGAGGGGUCUGUGGGAGUGCUGACUGUUAGAAAGUGAAGCAUAUACCAUCCUGGGAUAGAUACAGUCCUCUGGUUUAAAGGGAUAGGAGAAGCAAACUGAGACAGACUUCAGCGUCAGUGGUGGCUGGGCACAGAUGCAUGGUUAGAAGGACUAGGAAUGGUAUCUUCCCAGUGGUCCAUAAUUGAGUUUUGCAUCCUACUGCUGAAGCUCUCUGCUUAGCCAGACAAGCAUCAUUCAUCAUGUUAGUGUUCACAUCCAAUAUUGGUAUCAACUGAGUAGUAAAAUAGUAAUCAUUUUUUUUGUUUGAUAGAUGAGUUUAAACAAAUAUUUUUAUUUCAUCUGUAGGAAACUAUAAUGAAAUGGAACUAGCCUUCCAAAUGCAGGUUGCACUAUGUAAUUAGGUAGAUAAACAUGGCUAUAGAAGUUAGAACUGCAUGAACUUUUAACAAAGAGCAAAGAGAAUAUUAUAGUCAUUUAUUGGUGAGGAUGUAAUUCUUACCAUGGUCAAAGGAACAACGUUUUCUUGAUGAUAGCUUUACCUCUAGCUUUAGUAAAUACGUGACUUUGUAUACUGCCCUGAGUGUGUUUUCAGUUGAAGAUAGUUAUCAUUCGUUUUCACUUUCAACAUCAGAAGAAGUCACGGAUGUAAACCUCUUGCUCAUUUAAGUUUUCUUAAGUAGUGCCUUGAUUUCAAGUGGAAAAGAAACAAAAUUUAUGGUACAAAACAGAAGCCUGACUCUAACGUUUUAUACACAAGGUUUGGGUCUUUCUUUGAAUUGAAAGAGAGUCUGAAAAAAAAAAAAUGUGAUCCUUUUCUGUGCUGUAUCUCCUCCAGUCUUUUUAGUGGAAGUUGUAGUUUAGUGAAAGUUGAGUUGUAGAGUGUCCACUCAAGCCAAGCUUCUUCUAGGUAUUUCUGCCCCCUUGAGUGCUCUAGUCAUCCUGUCAAUCAUUUUAUGUGUUUUAAUGUGUUUUAUGUAGUUGGCAUGUGCUUCAAAGGUAGCUAUGAAAAUGAUGGUGCUGUAAUACCCUUGCACAAAUAUCUUUAAGCAUUAGCAAGUAGGCCUGUGGGCGAGAAACCGAAAGGCAGGACUACUGCGCCAAAGUGUACAUGCAUUUGAAUGCGAUGAACAUUAGGAAAUUAUAUUGCAAAAUGCCUUGUUUUCUCUAUUACAUGGAGGGCAUGAAAGUGUCCAUUUUCUGGUACUUUUGUCAUCAUCAGAUAUUAUUAUUUUUUAAUUUUUGUACAGCUGAUGGGUGAAAACUGUCAUCUUAGUGUUGCUUUAAUUUUUUCCAGUUCCUCAGUCACCACAAAGUUGAAUAUCCUUUAGUGUUUAUUAGUGAUUUGCUCUCUUCUUUUUUUGAACUAUCAGUUCAAAUCCUUUGUGUAUUUUUCUAGUGGUUCUAAUGUGUUAUUCUUAGAGUUGUAAGAGCUAUUAAUGAGUAUUGAUUUUUUUGGUAAAUAUUUUCCUCCACUUGUUCCUUGUUUAUUGAAGAUCCUUAUGAUGUCUUUCAAAGUAUCUGAGUUGAAAUAUUUAGUUAGUAAAAUCAACUGACAUUUGUAUAUAUGUCCUUUGAGUUUUGUGUGUUACUUAAAAAGACUUUCGUGUGUCUAUAUAUAUAUAUGCUAUAGUUUUUUCUAGUGCUUUGUGUUCACAACUCAAGCCAUAAUUUAUUAAUGAUCUUAUUAACAUCUAUUUCCUUCUAACGCCUUUUGAAGCUUCUCUUAUUCACUUGAGUCUUUCAUUUGUAUAUAUAAUGAAAUAUAUAGCUAAGUUUUUCAAUGGAUAUCUAAUAUUUCCAACUGCGUUUUAAGUAGCACAUAAUUUUACCUCUAAAUUGAAGUAUCAUCUUUAUCACAUAAUAAAUUCUUAUGUAUGUUCAUUUCCAGACUUUUAUAUUCUGUUCCAAUUUAUUUGUUUGUUCCUGACAGUCACCCCAUUGUUUUAAUAAGUGUAACUUUAUAUUUUGAACUUGGUACGCUGAGUUUUGUGGGGUUUUUUGAUGCAGAAUUUUUUGGCUAUUCUUGGAAGGUACUCUUUUUGUUAACUUUAGGAACAGCUAGUAAAUAUCCUUUCGAAAAAUCUCAGUGGAGUUUUGAUUGAAACCAUGUAGUAUAUAUAGAUCUACUGGAGAAAAGAAAGUCAUCUUUCCAAGCAAGGGUGUCUCCUUGCCCAGGGUGUCUGCCAGCAUAUUAUCAAGAACUGGUGCCACAAAAAUGUUUGAGUUGCUCAACACACUCCCAAAGUUAACACUGAAGAAAAAUAUUUCUUUCUUAAUGAAUGUUAAGUCUACACCCUGCCUCAUUUCAUCUGCAAAAUGAAACUAAGAUCUUAGGAUGGCUGCCUGGGGAAGUUCUGGGCCUGUCAUUUGAGAAGCUUUGCCAUCUGGCUCCAGAAGUGAUUCAUAGUCGGAUCCUGCAUGAUGUCAAAAUGUUGAAAAAAUUAUAAAAACCUUGAACUAGAUUAUUUAGGUUAGAUUCAUUAUAUUUUCAAUGAAGACUAAUAUUAUUAGUUUGUCUAACUUUUAUCUAAGGCUGUGCAUGCAUAGCUCUGAGAGUGCUGCCCAAUUCAGUUGAUUUUCAUUCAGAAAAAUUAUCAGUAAAAUUCCAAAAAAAAAAAAA
ensembl:lncRNA